UGGGGGAUAUUGCACAAUGGGCGAAAGCCUGAUGCAGCGACGCCGCGUGAGGGAUGAAGGCCUUCGGGUUGUAAACUUCUUUUGCUCUGAACAAGGCAUGCUAAUGGGUGUGUUGAGUGUAGGGGUUGAUUAGCGCCGGCUAACUACGUGCCAGCAGCCGCGGUAAUACGUAGGGCGCGAGCGUUGUCCGGAAUUAUUGGGCGUAAAGGGCUUGUAGGUGGCUGGUUGCGUCUGUCGUGAAAGCUCAUGGCUUAACUGUGGGUUUGCGGUGGGUACGGGCUGGCUUGAGUGCAGUAGGGGAGGCUGGAAUUCCUGGUGUAGCGGUGGAAUGCGCAGAUAUCAGGAGGAAUACCGGUGGCGAAGGCGGGUCUCUGGGCUGUUACUGACACUGAGGAGCGAAAGCAUGGGGAGCGAACAGG
rnacentral:rRNA from 1 species